rnacentral:rRNA from 1 species
AGAGUUUGAUCCUGGCUCAGGACGAACGCUGGCGGCGUGCUUAACACAUGCAAGUCGAACGUAAGGCCCCAGCUUGCUGGGGUACACGAGUGGCGAACGGGUGAGUAACACGUGGGUGACUGCCCCGCACUUCGGGAUAAGCCUGGGAAACUGGGUCUAAUACCGGAUAGGACCGCACCGGAGGGUGUGGUGGAAAGUUUUUCGGUGUGGGAUGGGCCCGCGGCCUAUCAGCUUGUUGGUGGGUAAUGGCCUACCAAGGCGGCGACGGGUAGCCGGCCUGAGAGGGUGGACGGCCACAUUGGACUGAGACACGGCCCAGACUCCUACGGGAGGCAGCAGUGGGGAAUAUUGCACAAUGGGGGAAGCCUGAUGCAGCGACGCCGCGUGGGGGAUGACGGCCUUCGGGUUGUAAACUCCUUUACCAUCGACGAAGGUUUUCUGACGGUAGAUGGAGAAGAAGCACCGGCUAACUACGUGCCACAGCCGCGGUAAUACGUAGGGUGCGAGCGUUGUCCGGAAUUACUGGGCGUAAAAGAGCUCUAGGUGGUUUGUCGCGUCGUCUGUGAAAUUCCGGGGCUUAACUCCGGGCGUGCAGGCGAUCGGGCAUAACUUGAGUACUGUAGGGGAGACUGGAAUUCCUGGUGUAGCGGUGAAAUGCGCGAUAUCAGGAGGAACACCGGUGGCGAAGGCGGGUCUCUGGGCAGUAACUGACGCUGAGGACGAAAGCAUGGGUAGCGAACAGGAUUAGAUACCCUGGUA